CGACCUCACAUCGGACGAGACUACCCGCUGAAUUUAAGCAUAUCAAUAAGCGGAGGAAAAGAAACUAACAAGGAUUCCCC
rnacentral:rRNA from 1 species